rnacentral:lncRNA from 1 species
UUGGAAAUGACACCAUUAAUGUGGGCGGCUGUGAGAGGACACCUGGAGGUAGUGAUGUACCUCGUCAGUCACGGCAGUCAGUUAGAGGCCACAGACCGGGUAAUGAUAGAUAUAAUCACCUUACUCUGACCAAACACAACUUUAUACAGAAUCUACACAAAAUCAUGUUGUUAAUCAGACAGGUUUAAUGGACAACAAAUAUUUGUUAGAAUUAUAUAAAGUGGGGUCUCAUUUUAUUCGUAACACAGAACUGAAUCAGAUAGUAAAGGUUUUAUUUUGUUUCUUGACGAAAAAAUAUUUUAUAAACAUUUGAUUUUAAUGAGAAGUUGAUGAGAACAAGUUGUGUUAACAUCUUUAGUCAGAUAAUGUUAAUUCUACAGAUCUAAUGUAAAACAUCUUUUAAAAAUAACAAAUACUUGACAGAAUUAUAUAAAGUGGGGUCUUAUUUUUCUUGUCUCUUCGUACUGAAUCAGAAAAUAUAACUUGUUUUUAUGUUCCUUGAUCAGAAUGCAAAUUAGUGAAUAGAUUAUGAUUAAUGAAUAAUAAUAUGAAUAAAUAUUCUUUAUUUUAUAGUUUGUUCUAUGAAGUUAUUUUUUUUUUUAAAAGCCCCAUUCUCUUUAUUCUAUAUUUCUGCUUUUCAUACUAUCUGUUCUUUAUUUAUUUUAUUUUUUUUUAUUCUGCAUUUUUUUCUCAUUAUUCUCUAUUCUUUUAAAAUCCCUAAUUUUGAUUCCGGACCCUGCAUUUUACGUACUUGGCACGUCGAGUUCGAAAACUCGGAAAACCCGGAAAUCUUUUCACGGCUGAGGUUUUGUACACUAUGACGCAAAUCCAUGGACGCUCACGCGAUCGUCUGCAGCUGUGUUUUUUAAGUUUUAAGAAUGGACAGAAAUAGAUUCUACUUCUACGUCUACUUAUAAACAGAUUAAUUGAAAUGGAUGACUUGUCGAUUAACUAGACGGAACCUGGAAACGAUACAUUGAAAUGAAAGUCUUUAUAGAGUGAAACACUGAAAGUCAACAGGUCAACGCAACGAAACGUCGACAGUGUUUUGUGUUCAUGGAUUACGUACAUUAAAA